GUCGAGCGGUAAGGCCCUUCGGGGUACACGAGCGGCGAACGGGUGAGUAACACGUGAGCAACCUGCCCCUGACUCCGGGAUAAGCGGUGGAAACGCCGUCUAAUACCGGAUACGACCCUCCUCCGCAUGGUGGGGGGUGGAAAGUUCUUCGGUCGGGGAUGGGCUCGCGGCCUAUCAGCUUGUUGGUGGGGUAACGGCCUACCAAGGCGAUUACGGGUAGCCGGCCUGAGAGGGCGACCGGCCACACUGGGACUGAGACACGGCCCAGACUCCUGCGGGAGGCAGCAGUGGGGAAUAUUGCGCAAUGGGCGAAAGCCUGACGCAGCGACGCCGCGUGGGGGAUGACGGCCUUCGGGUUGUAAACCUCUUUUACCACUCACGCAGGCCCCGGGUUCUCCCGGGGUUGACGGUAGGUGGGGAAUAAGGACCGGCUAACUACGUGCCAGCAGCCGCGGUAAUACGUAGGGUCCGAGCGUUGUCCGGAAUUAUUGGGCGUAAAGAGCUCGUAGGCGGCGUGUCGCGUCUGCUGUGAAAGACCGGGGCUUAACCCCGGUUCUGCAGUGGAUACGGGCAUGCUAGAGGUAGGUAGGGGAGACUGGAAUUCCUGGUGUAGCGGUGAAAUGCGCAGAUAUCAGGAGGAACACCGGUGGCGAAGGCGGGUCUCUGGGCCUUACCUGACGCUGAGGAGCGAA
rnacentral:rRNA from 1 species